rnacentral:rRNA from 1 species
GUGCAGCAGUCGCGAAAACUUCACAAUGUGGGAAACCACGAUGAGGGAACUCCAAGUGCUUGCGCUUUGCGUAAGCUGUUCUUUUGUCUAAAAAACAAAGGAAGUAAGGGCCGGGUAAGACGGGUGCCAGCCGCCGCGGUAAUACCCGCGGCCCGAGUGGUGGUCAUUAUUAUUGAGCCUAAAGCGUCCGCAGCCGGUUUGGUAGAUGCCUGGGUAAAUCGAAUCGCUUAACGAUCCGAAUUCCGGGUAGACCGCCAAACUUGGGACCGGGAGAGGUUGGAGGUACUUCUGGGGUAGGGGUAAAAUCCUGUAAUCCUUGGGGGACCACCAGUGGCGAAGGCGUCCAACCGAAACGCGUCCGACGGUGAGGGACGAAAGCCAGGGGCACAAACCGGAUUAGAUACCCGCGGAGUCC